AUCCGGAAUCAUUGGGCGUAAAGCGCCUGUAGGUUGUUUAAUAAGUCCGUUGUUAAAGACUAGGGCUUAACCCUAGGAAAGCGAUGGAAACUGAUAGACUUGAGUAUGGCAGGGGUAGAGGGAAUUUCUAGUGUAGCGGUGAAAUGCGUAGAUAUUAGAAAGAACACCGGUGGCGAAAGCGCUCUACUGGACCAUUACUGACACUGAGAGGCGAAAGCUAGGGGAGCGAAAGGGAUUAGAUACCCCUGUAGUCCUAGCCGUAAACGAUGGAUACUAGAUGUUGUGCAAUUUGGACAGUAUCGUAGCUAACGCGUUAAGUAUCCCGCCUGGGGAGUACGCUCGCAAGGGUGAAACUCAAAGGAAUUGACGGGGGCCCGCACAAGCGGUGGAGCAUGUGGUUUAAUUCGAUGCAACGCGAAGAACCUUACCAGGGCUUGACAUACUACAGAUUCUUUUGAGAGAGAGAAGUGCCUUCGGGAAUGUAGAUACAGGUGGUGCAUGGCUGUCGUCAGCUCGUGUCGUGAGAUGUUGGGUUAAGUCCCGCAACGAGCGCAACCUUUAUUUUUAGUUACUAAUUCGUUAGGUUCUCUAGAAAGACUGCCGGUGACAAACCGGAGGAAGGUGAGGAUGACGUCAAGUCAGCAUGCCCCUUAUGUCCUGGGCUACACACGUGCUACAAUGGUUAAGACAAAGAGUCGCGAGCUCGCAAGAGUCAG
rnacentral:rRNA from 1 species